rnacentral:rRNA from 1 species
GAUGAACGCUAGCGGGAGGCCUAACACAUGCAAGCCGAGCGGUAUUUGUCUUUCGGGACAGAGAGAGCGGCGUACGGGUGCGGAACACGUGCGCAACCUGCCUUUAUCUGGGGGAUAGCCUUUCGAAAGGAAGAUUAAUACCCCAUAAUAUAAUGAAUGGCAUCAUUUAUUAUUGAAAACUCCGGUGGAUAGAGAUGGGCACGCGCAAGAUUAGAUAGUUGGUGAGGUAACGGCUCACCAAGUCGAUGAUCUUUAGGGGGCCUGAGAGGGUGAUCCCCCACACUGGUACUGAGACACGGACCAGACUCCUACGGGAGGCAGCAGUGAGGAAUAUUGGACAAUGGGUUAGCGCCUGAUCCAGCCAUCCCGCGUGAAGGACGACGGCCCUAUGGGUUGUAAACUUCUUUUGUACAGGGAUAAACCUACUCUCGUGAGAGUAGCUGAAGGUACUGUACGAAUAAGCACCGGCUAACUCCGUGCCAGCAGCCGCCGUAA